UCAAGCUACGAAGGGCGCGCGGUGGAUGCCUUGGGGCAAAGAGCCGAUGAAGGACGUGGUAAGCGACGAAACGCCUCGGGGAGCUGCAAUCGAGCUUUGAUCCGGGGAUCUCCGAAUGGGGUAACCCGCCUGAGUGACCCUCAGGCACUCCCUGCUGAAUGUAUAGGCAGGGUAGAGGGCAGCCGGCGAACUGAAACAUCUAAGUAGCCGGACGAAAAGAAAACAACCGUGAUUGCGCAAGUAGCGGCGAGCGAACGCGCAUCAGCCUAAACCGGUCCGUACGCGGGCCGGGGUCGUGGGGCCGAAUUUUAGCAUUCCAAUCUGUUAGCCGAGCGGUCUGGGAAGUCCGACCAUAGAGGGUGAGAGUCCCGUAGGCGAAAACGGAGCGGAGCGUUUCGGUACCCGAGUACCGCGGGACACGAGGAACCUUGCGGGAAUCUGGGAGGACCAUCUCCUAAGGCUAAAUACUCUUUGCCACCGAUAGCGCAACAGUACCGUGAGGGAAAGGUGAAAAGCACCCCGGGAGGGGGGUGAAACAGUUCCUGAAACCGCGUCGCCUACAAGCAGUCGGAGCGCUAUGGCGGGCUUGCCCGCAACGCGUGACGGCGUGCCUUUUGCAGAAUGAGCCUGCGAGUUAACCUACGUCGCCGCUUAAGUGAGUCAUUCACGGAGGCCAAGCGAAAGCGAGUCUGAAUAAGGCGUCGACUUUAUGUCAGGUGGCGUGGGUUAGACCCGAAACCGCGUGAUCUACCCAUGGUCAGGUUGAAGCGGGGGUAACACCUCGUGGAGGACCGAACCGUUGUACGUUGAAGAGUGCUCGGAUGAACUGUGGGUAGGGGUGAAAUGCCAAUCGAACGCGGAGAUAGCUGGUUCUCCUCGAAAUGCAUUUAGGUGCAGCGUUGUCCGUUUUCUGUCGGAGGUAGAGCACUGAAUGGCCUAGGGGCCCUCCCAGGUUACCGAAGUCAAUCAAACUCCGAAUGCCGGCAGAUUAGGUCAGCAGUGAGACAGUGGGGGAUAAGCUUCAUUGUCGAAAGGGAAACAGCCCAGACCCACUGCUAAGGUCCCUAAGCGGCGGCUAAGUGUAAAAGGAUGUGGAAUCACGUAAACAGCCAGGAUGUUGGCUUAGAAGCAGCCACCAUUUAAAGAGUGCGUAACAGCUUACUGGCCGAAUGUGGUUCUGCGCCGAUAAUGUACGGGGGCUCAAGCCGCCCACCGAAGCAUGGGACUUCAGACUUGUCUGGAGUGGUAGAGGAGUGUUGUCAGCGGGGCGAAGCGUCAGCGCAAGCAGGCGUGGACUGCUGACAAGUAAGAAUGCAGGCAUAAGUAGCGCGAAGACGGGUGAGAAUCCCGUCCACCGAAAGCCUAAGGUUUCCGCAGUACAGUUCGUCUGCUGCGGGUCAGUCGGUCCUAAGGCGAGGCCAAUUGGCGUAGUCGAUGGCUGUCAGGUUUAUAUUCCUGAACCGGGCGUGAAGGUUAAACUGGCGGGGACGCUUCUUCGGGCACCGCAUAGGUUGUUGGUCUGCCGAGCGGAUCCCUUCGGGGUGAGGCGCAGCGGAAGAAGAAGGGGCCGAGAAAAGCCGACCAGGUACAACACGUUCGACCGUACCGCAAACCGACACAGGUAGGCAGGUAGAGGAUACCAAGGUGUUCGAGAUAACUCUCGCGAAGGAACUAGGCAAUCUAACCCCGUAACUUCGGGAGAAGGGGUGCCGGAGCGAUCCGGCCGCAGUGAAAUGGCCCGAGCGACUGUUUACCAAAAACACAGGUCUCUGCUAAGUCGAAAGACGACGUAUAGGGGCUGACGCCUGCCCAAUGCCAGAAUGUUAACAGGAGGGGUUAGGGGAAACCCGAAGCCCUGAAUCGAAGCACUGGUGAAUGGCGGCCGUAACUAUAACGGUCCUAAGGUAGCGAAAUUCCUUGUCGGGUAAGUUCCGACCUGCACGAAUGGCGUAACGACUUUCCUACUGUCUCAACCACAGACCCGGCGAAAUUGAAGUACGAGUAAAGAUGCUCGUUAGCUGCAGAAGGACGGAAAGACCCCGUGGACCUUUACUACAGCUUGAUGUUGAGCUUUGUUAUGUGUUGUGUAGGAUAGGUGGGAGACUAGGAAGCAUUGGCGCUAGUCAGUGUGGAGUCAACCUUGAAAUACCACCCUGCUCAUGACGGAGCCCUAACCCACGUCCCUGAUCGGGAUGGGGGACAGCGUCUGGUGGGUAGUUUGACUGGGGCGGUCGCCUCCUAAAGAGUAACGGAGGCGCCCAAAGGUUCCCUCAGGCUGGUUGGCAAUCAGCCGUCGAGUGCAAUGACACAAGGGAGCUUGACUGCGAGACCUACAAGUCAAGCAGGUGCGAAAGCAGGGCAUAGUGAUCCGGCGGUUGCGUGUGGAAGCGCCGUCGCUCAACGGAUAAAAGGUACCCCGGGGAUAACAGGCUCAUCUUCCCCAAGAGUCCAUAUCGACGGGAAGGUUUGGCACCUCGAUGUCGGCUCAUCGCAUCCUGGGGCUGAAGCAGGUCCCAAGGGUUGGGCUGUUCGCCCAUUAAAGCGGUACGCGAGCUGGGUUUAGAACGUCGUGAGACAGUUCGGUCCCUAUCCUCUGCAGCCGGAAGGAACUUGAGAAAGGCUGUCCCUAGUACGAGAGGACCGGGAUGGACGCAGCUCUGGUGUGCCAGUUGUCCUGCCAAGGGCACUGCUGGUUAGCUACCUGCGGAAGGGAUAAGCGCUGAAAGCAUCUAAGUACGAAGCCCGUUUCUAGAUGAGGUUCCUCACUGGGUUAACCAGGUAAGGCCUGUGAUAGACCAUCACGUUGAUAGGCCGGAAGUGUACGCGUGGUAACACGUUCAGCUGACCGGUACUAAUCGGCCGAGGGCUUGGAUC
rnacentral:rRNA from 1 species